UACGUAGGUGGCAAGCGUUGUCCGGAUUUAUUGGGUUUAAAGGGUGCGUAGGCGGUUGUAUAAGUCAGUGCUGAAAUAUCCCAGCUUAACUGGGAGGGUGGCAUUGAUACUGUAUGACUUGAGUAGAGUUGAGGUUGGCGGAAUUGACGGUGUAGCGGUGAAUGACUUAGAUAUCGUCAAGAACACCGAUAGUGAAGACAGCUAACUAAGCUCUAACUGACGCUGAGGCACGAAAGUGUGGGGAUCAAACAGGG
rnacentral:rRNA from 1 species